UACGUAGGGGGCAAGCGUUGUCCGGAUUUAUUGGGCGUAAAGAGCGUGUAGGCGGCCUGGUAGGUCAGCUGUGAAAACUCGAGGCUCAACCUCGAGACGUCGGUUGAAACCACCUGGCUAGAGUCCGGAAGAGGAGAGUGGAAUUCCUGGUGUAGCGGUGGAAUGCGCAGAUAUCAGGAGGAACACCGAUGGCGAAGGCAGAUCUCUGGGCCGUAACUGACGCUGAGGAGCGAAAGCGUGGGGAGCGAACAGG
rnacentral:rRNA from 1 species